rnacentral:lncRNA from 1 species
AGUCAGUUCUCUCUUUCCAUGAGGUGGAUUCUGCAGCUAGAAUUUAGGUUGUCAGGUUUGGAGUCACGUGUCUUUACCUGCUGAGCUAUCUUGUAUACCUAAUUUAAUGCUGAUUGCAAAAUUAAUCGUUAUUGAUACCAAAUUAAGAAUUGCAUAGUUUUCUUGUUAUAACUAAAAAUAAUUUUAUCUUGCUGAUCUUUGACUUAUGUAACCUUUUGAUUUUCUCAUAACCUGUUGUUUCUGUUCUAUCAUAGGACUUAAGAAUGUUUCAGUUUAUUUGGGAUUUCUUGACUCUCUCAAUUUAAGAUAAUAGCUCAUUCACCCUUUCCAAAGUAGUGCAGAAAUUACAUAUAUUCAAAUUUGUCUUAUUAAAGAAAUCCUUACAAUGGAAACAAAGCUUACUUCAAGUUAAUUUGCCUUUUAACCUUAAGACCCUAAAUUAUGAGUUCUUAGAUAAUUAAGAAUAUCAACUACACUGCUAUUGAUGAGUUAAGGUGAUGCCUCCCUCAUCCCCUUUACUACUAAAAAUCUAAUCUCUUUAAUCAGUUCUUGAUAACUAAUUGUUAUUUUAAAAUUUGAGAAAAGCUGUUAAACACUGAUGUAAAUUAUCAUAUGAUAACCACUGUAACAGGAAAAUAAAAUUUGCUCUGAUUGCCAUUUUACAUGUUUAACCAUCUGUCACAAGUCAGUUUUCCUAAAAAUCCACUCAGUUUUAAGUCCAGUGAUUAAUAAAUAUCCUUAUAUUUAAUGUAAAUGAGUAAAUACCUAAUAAAAAAUUGGAAAAAAAACAAAAAAAGAAACAAAAAACAAAAUAUUUCUAAUAAAUUAUAUAGGUAUCAUUGCAGUUAAUAUUUCUAAAUUUAAGAAUUAUUUUUUAGUUAUACAUGCAUGCGUUUGUGCGUGCGCGUGCGUGUAUGUGUGCGCAUGCAUGUGUGUAUUCAAUACCACAAAUGCCAGAGGUAUCAGAUUCCCUGAAGCUGUAGUCACUAUGAUUUUUCUAUUACCUGAUGUGGGUUCAGGGAGAAGAAUGUGGGUCCUUUGCAAAAGCAGUAUGUUUUCUUAAUCACUGAGCCAUCUCUCUAACCCCAAAAUUAGAAUGAAGUAUAUUUUCCUAUUACAGUAGUUUUACCUGGUGAUUUACAUCAGUGAUUAUUUGAAUACUGGACAGAACCAGAACUGUUACAGAAAGGAGUAUUUUACUACUUGUAAUAUAAGUAAAUUUGAGACUUGUUUUUAAAUUAAAUUUCUCUUGUCUUACAGACUUUGUCCAUUGGUGUUCUUGAUAUUUUUGGGUUUGAAGAUUAUGAAAACAAUAGUUUUGAACAGUUCUGUAUUAAUUUUGCUAAUGAACGUUUACAGCACUACUUUAAUCAGCAUAUCUUUAAGUUGGAGCAAGUGAGUAUCUAAAUAUAUAGUUACCCUCCUGCUUAAACUUUUGAAUCAAUUUCAUAACUGUUUUCUAGCCUGCAUUUUGAUUCAGACAGUGCAUGGUCAUAUCACUAUAAGGAAAUGACAAAUCAGAGCAGAGCUUUUCAGCUAUAUUAUACAGAUUUUUUUUAAUAGUUGCCAGAUGUAUCUGUUAAUUUGUGUUUGUUUACAUGUAUCUUUGGAUGAAUCAUGCAUCUUUUUUAAUGCACCCUUUUUAAGGGUGUUGUAUAUCUGUUGCUAUCGAGUGUGGUCACUUACUAUCUUUAGUAUUUAUUUAACUGCUUUGGUCUCCACUUCUUAUCUGAGAUCAAAGACUCUUGAGGAGCAGAGUGUGGAUGCAAAGGUGUAUUCUGGGGUUGGAGGUAAUAGUUCAGCAAUUUAGAACAUUUGUUUUUCUCGCUGAUGACCAGGGUUUAGUUCCUAGCAUCCAUCUGUAACUUCAGUUCCAAGGGGUCUAACACCCUCUUCUAACUUCUCAUAAAUACUUGCUGGCAAAACAUUCAUACACCUAAAAUAAAUCUAAAAAGUAAAAAUAAACAAACCAAGUAAACCACAAUGGCAUUUCUUAUGAGAAUCUUAAGAUUGAUGACAAUUUAGUUUUUAUUACAAUUAUUAUGAGAAGAGGACCCAAAAGAUGUGAGGUUUUCCUCCAAAUUUAGUUGGAAAUCAGUUUUUGACCCAGUUUAUAAGCCAGAACUUCAGUUUAUUUAGUAAUGACAUAGGCAACUAUACUAAGAUUUAUCACAGUCAACUUAAAUGCUAACUAAUGGAAAGUGAAUGCAAACCCCAAAAUAGUUAGUAGGUCUACUGAAUAAUUUAAAAGAAACUUCUACCAGCUAGCUUCUACAAAGUAUAAUAAUAUAUAUAUAAAUUCUAUAGUAAAGUUUAUUGCUCUAUAUGCUGACUUAAAAAUUAAAAUUUAUUAUUAUUUGUGUGUGUGUGUGUGUGUGUGUAUGUGUGCAUGUACUUGUAUGGGUGUGUAUGUAUGUAUAGACAUGUGCUGUGGCACACGGGUGAAGGGAGGUCAGAGGAAAACCUCGUGGAUUCAUGGAUUCAGUUCUCCUCCUCUACCUAUGUGUGUUGUAAGGAUUGACCUCAGAUCAUUAAGAGUGUGGCAAGAUCCUUUUACUGAACCACCUUCUGACUGGUUUUGUUGUUUUUUGGUUUUUUUGUAAAGGGUAGUUGUGUAAAAUGUUUUAGGGCUGGCUACUUUGAUGAAUGCUUAAAGUAUUCAAUAUAAUUGAAGUUCUAGACAUAAUUAAUUCUUAUGUGUGUGAUUGUAAUUGUGUGCAUAGUGAUAUGAGUGUAUGGAAGUCAGAGGACAAUGUGGAGAUUCUCUGGGUCGAACUUAGGUCAGUUGAAGUAGUCUUGGUGAUUGAUUCAGAAUCAUGUUGAAUAAAAGACAAACUGAAAGGUGUCUGAUAUUUGAAAAUGCUCAUGUUAGCAUUUUUAAUGUUGCCCAUUUCUUUCCUUUACAUGCUCUGAAUUACCCUUACCAUCACUGAUUUAUUAGUAAAUAUAAUGACAAUUGAGUUACAUAUGUCAGGCAUUGUGGUAAGCUCCGAAAACAAAAAGUUUGGAGCUUUGGAAUCUUACUGAGGAGUUUGUACCUAACAAUUUUUGUUUUGAUGGCAGAUUGGUGGUGUGAGACUACCAUUGUCUUUGAGGAUAGUCUUCCUCACCCCACUCUGCUCCACAUCCUAAUAAAAACCC